rnacentral:rRNA from 1 species
CCUACGGGAGGCAGCAGUGAGGAAUAUUGGUCAAUGGACGAGAGUCUGAACCAGCCAAGUAGCGUGAAGGAUGACUGCCCUAUGGGUUGUAAACUUCUUUUGUCAAGGGACAAAAUCAGGCUCGAGAGCCUGACCGAGGGUACUUGAAGAAAAAGCAUCGGCUAACUCCGUGCCAGCAGCCGCGGUAAUACGGAGGAUGCGAGCGUUAUCCGGAUUUAUUGGGUUUAAAGGGUGCGUAGGCGGGCUGUUAAGUCAGCGGUAAAAGCCCGGGGCUCAACCCCGGCGAGCCGUUGAAACUGGCUGUCUUGAGAUGUCGAGAGGUAUGCGGAAUGCGCAGUGUAGCGGUGAAAUGCUUAGAUAUUGCGCAGAACUCCGAUUGCGAAGGCAGCAUACCGGCGGCGAUCUGACGCUGAGGCACGAAAGCGUGGGUAUCGAACAGGAUUAGAUACCCCGGUAGUC